CAUACCUAUUCGAAGGGAUAGGGUCGGUUUGGCCGGAUUUCACACAGGUGUUGCAUGGCUGUCGCCAGCUCGUGUCGUGAGAUGUUGGGUUAAGUCCCGCAACGAGCGCAACCCUCAUCCUUAGUUACCAUCAGGUUAUGCUGGGGACUUUAAGGAAACUGCCAGUGAUAAACUGGAGGAAGGUGGGGAUGAUGUCAAGUCAUCAUGGCCCUUAUGGAGUGGGCUACACACGUGCUACAAUGGUGAUUACAAUGGGCUGCAAGGUCGCAAGGCUGAGCUAAUCCUAAAAAAUCAUCUCAGUUCGGAUUGUUCUCUGCAACUCGAGAGCAUGAAGUUGGAAUCGCUAGUAAUCGUGGAUCAGCAUGCCACGGUGAAUACGUUCUCGGGUCUUGUACACACUGCCCGUCACGCCAUGGGAAUUGGUUUCACUCGAAGCU
rnacentral:rRNA from 1 species